UACGGAGGGGGCUAGCGUUGUUCGGAAUCACUGGGCGUAAAGCGCACGUAGGCGGCUUUGCAAGUCAGAGGUGAAAGCCUGGAGCUCAACUCCAGAAUUGCCUUUGAGACUGCAUGCUUGAAUCGCGGAGAGGUGAGUGGAAUUCCGAGUGUAGAGGUGAAAUUCGUAGAUAUUCGGAAGAACACCAGUGGCGAAGGCGGC
rnacentral:rRNA from 1 species